rnacentral:sRNA from 1 species
ACCGGAGGAGGAGGAGGAGCU